rnacentral:rRNA from 1 species
UAGGGAAUAUUGGGCAAUGGAGGGAACUCUGACCCAGCCAUGCCGCGUGCAGGAUGAAGGCGUUAUGCGUUGUAAACUGCUUUUAUAUAGGAAGAAAUAGUCCUUGCGAGGAAAGUUGACGGUACUAUAUGAAUAAGCACCGGCUAACUCCGUGCCAGCAGCCGCGGUAAUACGGAGGGUGCAAGCGUUGUCCGGAUUUAUUGGGUUUAAAGGGUGCGUAGGCGGUUUAUUAAGUCAGUGGUGAAAGACGGUCGCUCAACGAUUGCAGUGCCAUUGAUACUGGCAGACUUGAGUAUGAUUGAGGUAGCUGGAAUGGAUAGUGUAGCGGUGAAAUGCAUAGAUAUUAUCCAGAACACCAAUUGCGUAGGCAAGUUACUAAGUCAUAACUGACGCUGAGGCACGAAAGUGUGGGUAUCAAACAGGAUUAGAUACCCCAGUAGUCCCUGAGCGGGCUGGCAAGGCGCAU